rnacentral:ncRNA from 1 species
UGUGUGUUUACACAAGGAAGCUUGAGGCAAUAACAGGUCUGUGAUGCCCUUAGAUGUUCUGGGCUGCACGCGCGCUACACUGACACGAUCAACAAGUAUUUCCUUGCCCGGUAGGGUUAGGGUAAUCUUUUGAAAUCGUGUCGUGCUAGGGAUAGACGAUUGCAAUUAUUCGUCUUCAACGAGGAAUUCCUAGUAAAUGCAAGUCAUCAGCUUGCGUUGAUUACGUCCCUGCCCUUUGUACACACCGCCCGUCGCUCCUACCGAUUGAGUGAUCCGGUGAGCUGUCCGGACUGCGAUUAGUUCAGUUUCUGUUCUCUUCGCGGGAAGUUCUGCAAACCUUAUCACUUAGAGGAAGGAGAAGUCGUAACAAGGUUUCCGUAGGUGAACCUGCGGAAGGAUCAUUC